UACGUAGGGACCAAGCGUUGUUCGGAUUUACUGGGCGUAAAGGGCUCGUAGGCGGCCAACUAAGUCAGACGUGAAAUCCCUCGGCUUAACCGGGGAACUGCGUCUGAUACUGGAUGGCUUGAGUGUGGGAGAGGGAUGCGGAAUUCCAGGUGUAGCGGUGAAAUGCGUAGAUAUCUGGAGGAACACCGGUGGCGAAGGCGGCAUCCUGGACCACGACUGACGCUGAGUGAGCGAAAGCCAGGGGAGCAAACGGG
rnacentral:rRNA from 1 species